rnacentral:rRNA from 1 species
UGAAGAGCGGCGAACGGGUGAGUAACGCGUGGGAAAUCUGCCGAGUAGCGGGGGACAACGUUUGGAAACGAACGCUAAUACCGCAUAACAAUGAGAAUCGCAUGAUUCUUAUUUGAAAGAAGCAAUUGCUUCACUACUUGAUGAUCCCGCGUUGUAUUAGCUAGUUGGUAGUGUAAAGGACUACCAAGGCGAUGAUACAUAGCCGACCUGAGAGGGUGAUCGGCCACACUGGGACUGAGACACGGCCCAGACUCCUACGGGAGGCAGCAGUAGGGAAUCUUCGGCAAUGGGGGCAACCCUGACCGAGCAACGCCGCGUGAGUGAAGAAGGU